rnacentral:rRNA from 1 species
CGUAGGGUGCGAGCGUUAAUCGGAAUUACUGGGCGUAAAGCGUGCGCAGGCGGUUAUAUAAGACAGAUGUGAAAUCCCCGGGCUCAACCUGGGACCUGCAUUUGUGACUGUAUAGCUAGAGUACGGUAGAGGGGGAUGGAAUUCCGCGUGUAGCAGUGAAAUGCGUAGAUAUGCGGAGGAACACCGAUGGCGAAGGCAAUCCCCUGGACCUGUACUGACGCUCAUGCACGAAAGCGUGGGAGCAAACAGGAUU